rnacentral:rRNA from 1 species
GUGGGGAAUAUUGGACAAUGGGCGAAAGCCUGAUCCAGCCAUGCCGCGUGUGUGAAGAAGGUCUUCGGAUUGUAAAGCACUUUUGGCAGGAAAGAAAUAGUGCGUGCUAAUACCAUGCGCGAAUGACGGUACCUGCAGAAUAAGCACCGGCUAACUACGUGCCAGCAGCCGCGGUAAGACGUAGGGUGCAAGCGUUAAUCGGAAUUACUGGGCGUAAAGCGUGCGCAGGCGGUUUUGUAAGACAGGUGUGAAAUCCCCGGGCUCAACCUGGGAACUGCACUUGUGACUGCAAGGCUAGAGUGUGUCAGAGGGAGGUGGAAUUCCGCGUGUAGCAGUGAAAUGCGUAGAGAUGCGGAGGAACACCGAUGGCGAAGGCAGCCUCCUGGGAUAACACUGACGCUCAGGCACGAAAGCGUGGGGAGCAAACAGGAUUAGAAACCCUGGUAGUCC